AUACGUAGCUGGCAGAGGAGACACAUUGAUCACAAAGAAGAUUCACCCAGGGUGAGGCUAUAGGCAAUUGUUCCUGUUCUGGUCAUGCAUUCCCCAUAUGAAAGAAUUUCACCUAAAAACGUUAUGCAAAUGAACAAAAUAGUAUGGGAAUGUGUCCACACAAUCUCAUG
rnacentral:snRNA from 1 species